rnacentral:rRNA from 1 species
GUCCGAGGUUUGGUGACUCUGAAUAAUUUCGCUGACCGCACGGUCUCGAACCGGCGGCGCAUCUUUCAAAUGUCUGCCUUAUCAACUUUCGAUGGUAGUUUAUGCGCCUACCAUGGUUGUAACGGGUAACGGAGAAUAAGGGUUCGACUCCGGAGAGGGAGCCUGAGAAACGGCUACCACAUCCAAGGAAGGCAGCAGGCACGCAAAUUACCCACUCCCGGUACGGGGAGGUAGUGACGAAAAAUAACGAGACGGUUCUCUACGAGAUUCCGUCAUCGGAAUGGGUACAAUUUAAAUCCUUUAACGAGGAUCUAUUGGAGGGCAAGUCUGGUGCCAGCAGCCGCGGUAAUUCCAGCUCCAAAAGCGUAUAUUAAAGUUGUUGCGGUUAAAAAGCUCGUAGUUGGAUCUGCGUCUUAGGCUAGCGGUCCCCCAGCGGGUGGUUACUGCUAUGCCUGGACUAAUUUAUCUGGUUUUCCCUUGGUGCUCUUUACUGAGUGCUUUGGGUGGCUGGAAGGUUUACUUUGAAAAAAUUAGAGUGCUUAAAGCAGGCAGUUAGCCUGAAUAGUGGUGCAUGGAAUAAUGGAAUAGGACUUCGGUUCUAUUUUGUUGGUUUUCGGAACUCGAGGUAAUGAUUAAGAGGGUCAGACGGGGGCAUUCGUA